CAUGCCAGAGCUUGGAAAUAUGAGGAUAAGCAGAAGAGGGAAGAGGGUCUCUGCCUACAGACAGACCCUUCUCAUUCAGACCAGAGGGAAAAGACACACUCACACACCAGCCACAGUGUGGCCUGGCAUGAGAGGACCUCAGGACAGGGCUGAGUACCAGCUUGGAGACCUUAGGAAAACAUGACCCAGCAAGAUGAGGAAACCAAAUGACCAGAUGUCAGCCUGAGAAAGAGAAUAGUGGUGUCAUCACCCAGCACUGCAAGACAGUGAAGUACAGGAGACACAGAAGCUCCACAACUCAAGAGGUGGCCCUUCUGCAAGGAACUUGCUACUGUCCAAUCUCCUAGAAGCUGUAAUUUUCAAAGCCACACUCUUUAUCAUCUCUAACCCCAAACUAGACUCUCUACUUUGAAUCAUGAUUUCAGCUUUUGCCACCAAACCCAGAAAAAAAUCUCAUUUCCCUCUGCGAGUAGGAUUUAGAGUUGGUGGUCAGGCAGGGAAAUUUGGUGCCGUGAUGAAUCAUUGCUUUGGCUGGAUCUUUGACCGAGUUCUUCCCCAUUUGCUUGAAAAGUUAAGGAGAAGGCCAGAUAAUAAGCAGGAAAAUUCAUAAGUGGUGGGAUAGUUUCUUCAAAGAAUGCUGAUCAAAUAUCCAUGCUAACCUUAAGGACAGACUGUUGUUCUAAAUGCCCCUCGUGUGCACCUUUUAACUUGGUAUGAAGGAGUUUGUGGUCAUCCAAUGAGAGGCAGCAAGUUGAGUAAAGGAUUGGGAGAGGUAAUGACUCAUGCCAUGGAUCAAGAAGGAUUCCAGGGACUGAAAUUUUGCCUUAGUGGUAGAGCACUUGCCUCCCAUGUGGGAGGUACUGGGUUGGAUCCUCAGCACCACGUAAAAACAAAUCAACAAAAUAAGGAUGUUUGUCCAUCUACAAGUAAAACUCAAUAAAUAAAGGAUCCCUGAAGUCCUCACAAGCUGGCAGGACAUUCCCAUGUAACAAAAUGUAACUUAGAAAAUGGAAUAAAUGUAGCCUUCUUAAAGGCAAACAGCAA